CAAGCCCCACAAACUACACCUGGAGGCCAAUUCCCUGGACAACCUCAACCAAACCCUCGUGGGCAAGCUAAUGCUAUCUCGUUACAAAGUGGGACCGCUUACGAAGGGCCUCAUAACCCAGCAAUGAGGGAGUCCAAAAAUUCUAAAGGGAAUGUACCUACCAACCAAGAAGAGGAACCAGAGGAAUCCGAUAAACAAACCAACCAAGAAGGUGAAGCCAAGGAUAAAACUU
rnacentral:lncRNA from 1 species